GAUGAACGCUGGCGGCGUGCCUAAUACAUGCCAGUCGAGCGAACGGACGAGAAGCUUGCUUCUCUGAUGUUAGCGGCGGACGGGUGAGUAACACGUGGAUAACCUACCUAUAAGACUGGGAUAACUUCGGGAAACCGGAGCUAAUACCGGAUAAUAUUUUGAACCGCAUGGUUCAAAAGUGAAAGACGGUCUUGCUGUCACUUAUAGAUGUAUCCGCGCUGCAUUAGCUAGUUGGUAAGGUAACGGCUUACCAAGGCAACGAUGCAUAGCCGACGUGAGAGGGUGAUCGGCCAAACGGGAACUGAGACACGGUCCAGACUCCUACGGGAGGCAGCAGUAGGGAAUCUUCCGCAAUGGGCGAAAGCCUGACGGAGCAACGCCGCGUGAGUGAUGAAGGUCUUCGGAUCGUAAAACUCUGUUAUUAGGGAAGAACAUAUGUGUAAGUAACUGUGCACAUCUUGACGGUACCUAAUCAGAAAGCCACGGCUAACUACGUG
rnacentral:rRNA from 1 species